CCUCCAAUUCUUGUCACACACGUGGUCGCUCAGUACUCGUGGGUGAAAUGCACGGAGGAAGAAUAAAUGCAGCGCUAUGUCUUCGGUGCCGGUGUGUAUUUGAGUCUGCCGGUUCUAUCCUCAAUCGCUGUAACACUG
ensembl:snoRNA